UGUCCAUGCCAUUAGAAAGAUUUGAAGGCUCUGACAUCACCAGCAAGGAAAUUAUUAACAAUCAAAGACGUCUUAGUAAAGCCAGAAUAUAUUUUAGUGCAAAUGAAUAACUCUUUUUCUUGCAUUCAUGUGAAAUGUCUUAUAUUUUACUAUAUAAAAAGUUAAUUUGGUUGAAAUUUUGUCCCAACUUAGCAUAAUUCUUUUCCCUUUCUAAUAAAAACUGACCAACUAUCUAUAUAGUUACUUGCAAAAAAUAGUGUUUGGUGUACAAAUGCUAUAAAAUCAGAUAUUUCUAAAACAG